GUCGUGAGAUGUUGGGUUAAGUCCCGCAACGAGCGCAACCCCCGUCGCAUGUUGCCAGCAUUUAGUUGGGGACUCAUGCGAGACUGCCGGUGACAAACCGGAGGAAGGUGGGGAUGACGUCAAGUCAUCAUGCCCCUUAUGUUCAGGGCUACACACGUGCUACAUUGGCGCGUACAGAGGGCUGCGAUACCGCGAGGUGGAGCGAAUCCCUUAAAGCGCGUCUCGGUUCGGAUUGCAGGCUGAAACCCGCCUGCAUGAAGGCGGAGUUGCUAGUAAUCGCGGAUCAGCAUCGCCGCGGUGAAUACGUUCCCGGGCCUUGUACACACCGCCCGUCACACCAUGGAAGCAAGCAACACCCGAAGCCGGUGGCCUAACCCGCAAGGGAGGGAGCCGUCGAAGGUGGGGCUCGUGACUGGGGUGAAGUCGUAACAAGGUAGCCGUACCGGAAGGUGCGGCUGGAUCACCUCCUUUCUAGGGAAGCUCCAGGACUUGGAGCGCCGGCGAAGGCCAGCUGCGCAUACCGCGUGGCUCGAGCUCGACCCGGUACCUAAUGUCGACCGGACCUGGGCGGAUCGCGGAAGCGAUUCGCCAUGCUGUUGAGUUUUGAGAGACCACGCCCCCCAGUCCGGGGGGCGCGCGCCUUUCCGCGGACCUUGAAAACUGCACAAUCAUGCCAACGAAGCACCCCUCCAUAUGCAAGGGGGGUGCGAACGGGUAUCACCAUCGCGUUCGGCCCUUCCAGGUCGAGCGCAUUGAUCACCGUCAAGAUAGGAAGGGCACACGGUGGAUGCCUUGGCACCUGGAGUCGAUGAAGGGCGUGAACGGCUGCGAUAAGCCGCGGUGAGGCGCUGAAUAGCCUGUGACCCGCGGAUUC
rnacentral:sRNA from 1 species